rnacentral:rRNA from 1 species
UACGGGAGGCAGCAGUGGGGAAUAUUGCACAAUGGGGGAAACCCUGAUGCAGCCAUGCCGCGUGUGUGAAGAAGGCCUUCGGGUUGUAAAGCACUUUCAGUAGGGAGGAAGGUAGUGUAGUUAACACCUGCAUUAUUUGACGUUACCUACAGAAGAAGCACCGGCUAACUCCGUGCCAGCAGCCGCGGUAAUACGGAGGGUGCGAGCGUUAAUCGGAAUUACUGGGCGUAAAGCGCAUGCAGGCGGCCUGUUAAGUCAGAUGUGAAAGCCCGGGGCUUAACCUCGGAAUUGCAUUUGAAACUGGCAGGCUAGAGUCUUGUAGAGGGGGUAGAAUUUCAGGUGUAGCGGUGAAAUGCGUAGAGAUCUGAAGGAAUACCAGUGGCGAAGGCGGCCCCCUGGACAAAGACUGACGCUCAGAUGCGAAAGCGUGGGGAGCAAACAGGAUUAGAUACCCUGGGAG